CUGCCCAAUGAUUAUAAAUUUUUAAUGGCUGCAGUAUUUUUUAACUGUACAAAGGUAGCAUAAUAAUUAGUUUUUUAAUUGAAAACUAGAAUGAAAGAUUGAAUGAAAUAUAUACUAUAUAAAUAAAAUUAAUAAUUAAAAUUAAAAUUUAAGUAAAAAUUCUUAAAUUUUAUUAAAAGACGAGAAGACCCUAUAGAAUUUUAUUUUUAAUUAUUUUAAAAUUUAUUAAUAAAUUUAAAUAUUUAUUUAAAAAUUUAAUUGGGGUAAUUAUAAAAUUUAAUUAAUUUUUAUUAUAAAAACAUAAAUUAAUGAAUUAUUAAUCUUAAAUUUUAGAUUAAAAAAAUAAAUUACCUUAGGGAUAACAGCGUAAUUUUUUUUGAUAGUUCAUAUUAAUAAAAAAGAUUGCGACCUCGAUGUUGAAUUAAGAUUAAUUAAAAAGUAAAAAUUUUAAAAUUUAAGUCUGUUCGACU
rnacentral:rRNA from 1 species